rnacentral:lncRNA from 1 species
UAAAAUUCUUAUCCUUAACUAAUUUAUCGUAUUUAUGGAGGUGAGAUUGAUUGGUUAGUUUUAGCUCUUUAUUCUUAAGAUUUAUUGUCUUAUAUUCUUCCAUUAAUUCAUUAAACGCAUCAUACAAUUCAUCAAAGGUAAAAUCUAAAUACGUUUCAGAUGUUACCUCAUUUUCGUUUGCCAUAAAACAGAGGUUGGCCUUUUCCUCUUGUUCCUCAUCCGAUGAUGAUGAUGAUGAAUCGGAAUCCGAUAGGGUGGAGACGAGGACUUUCUUUUUCUUAUA